AUUGAACGCUGGCGGCAGGCCUAACACAUGCAAGUCGAGCGGAUGACGGGAGCUUGCUCCUUGAUUCAGCGGCGGACGGGUGGGUAAUGCCUAGGAAUCUGCCUGGUAGUGGGGGACAACGUUUCGAAAGGAACGCUAAUACCGCAUACGUCCUACGGGAGAAAGCAGGGGACCUUCGGGCCUUGCGCUAUCAGAUGAGCCUAGGUCGGAUUAGCUAGUAGGUGAGGUAAUGGCUCACCUAGGCGACGAUCCGUAACUGGUCUGAGAGGAUGAUCAGUCACACUGGAACUGAGACACGGUCCAGACUCCUACGGGAGGCAGCAGUGGGGAAUAUUGGACAAUGGGCGAAAGCCUGAUCCAGCCAUGCCGCGUGUGUGAAGAAGGUCUUCGGAUUGUAAAGCACUUUGAGUUGGGAGGAAGGGCAGUAAGCGAAUACCUUGCUGUUUUGACGUUACCGACAGAAUAAGCACCGGCUAACUCUGUGCCAGCCGCCGCCGUAAGAC
rnacentral:rRNA from 1 species